ACACUGUUGGCGCAGUGGCAGCGCGCGGUACCCGUAGAUUCCGAGGUCGCAGGUUCAAUUCCCGCACAGUGUA